GACGUAGGGUGCGAGCGUUGUCCGGAUUUAUUGGGCGUAAAGAGCUCGUAGGCGGCUCGUCGCGUCGACCGUGAAAACCCGCGGCUUAACUGCGGGCUUGCGGUUGAUACGGGCGGGCUAGAGUUCGGUAGGGGAGACUGGAAUUCCUGGUGUAGCGGUGAAAUGCGCAGAUAUCAGGAGGAACACCGAUGGCGAAGGCAGGUCUCUGGGCCAUAACUGACGCUGAGAAGCGAAAGCAUGGGGAGCGAACGGG
rnacentral:rRNA from 1 species